UUUCCGUAGGUGAACCUGCGGAAGGAUCAUUAUCGAGGGGCUUCGGCCCCGUGAGAUAGCACCCUUGCCCUUACGAGCACCGUACGUUUCCUCGGCGGUCGUCGGCCGCCAAUGGACCACCAAACGCCUUGCAAUGAGCAGUGACCGUCUGAUAUACCCCAAAUUUAUUACAACUUUCAACGAUGGAUCUCUUGGCUCUG
rnacentral:misc_RNA from 1 species